rnacentral:lncRNA from 1 species
GUUUGAGAAAACCAGUCGGGCAGCCACCUUCCAAGCCACCCCAACGCCACCUCACGCCACCCUGACCCUCCGGACCGGACCCAGCAGCACCGGCCAGCUCCCGCCAUCAACCCCAGCCCGUCCGCCGCCCCUGCUGCUGUCUGGAGCCGCCGGAAACUGCUGGAAAAUGCAGCAGUUUUGGCAGAUUUUCCAACCUCAGUUUCUCCCUCAUCCGGCCACCAAAUCAGUCGUGUGAGGUAUCGAUUUCUAGCUAUUUUUCGUGCUCUAACUGAUGGUUGGCUGGGUUUUGAUCGAUUUCACCUCUAGAUCACUCGAUUUUCAAUUUGAAAAUCGGCCGAACUUCGGCCGCUGUGAUCGGCCAUUUCCGGCCACUUUUUGGGGUAUUUCCAAGAACAAAAGUGACUCUAAAUGGGGUGUUUUACCUAGGAUAGGAGUUUGGAGUCUUGGUUCUGAGAUUUUUCGACGAACCAUAAUCGCUUUGGACACACGAAUCUACCUGCGUGUGUGGCGGCGCGUGGACGAGGGUGGUGGAGCGACUCUGGACAGUUUUGAGAUCCUCGUGUCGUCACGAGCGCGUAGGAUUUCGCGGAUCUCGAUUCGGAGUCCGUUUGAGCCCCGAAUGAAUUUUUCAUAUCGCGCGAUCCUUGGGUGCAAUGUCGUCCAAUCGUUGGAUCGCGCUGAUUUUUGGAUAUGUCGUACUACAUGAUUCUAGGAUCGUGUAGGAUUCGACGGAUUGCGAAUCAGAGUCCCGGAUACUCCGAAAUCGCGAACCCUGGGGCUAGGGUUUGGAUUUUAAGCGAUAACGCGAUUUUGGCUAAUCUGACCGUCCGUUCCGGACCAAAUUCGCAGAACAUGGUUCCUCCUUUGUGAGAAACCUUCAGAGAAGCCCAGAUUGGCCAUCGGAGACCACAGACCCACGGGGUCCCGGAUCGGCCGAUUUGGCAGUUUAUCGCUUAGCUGAGCGUCGGGUAUUCCAAAACUGGUCUAAGUGUCUGAAGGGGCUAAUGUGGGCAUAGGAGUAACUUGGAAUGAGAACACGUAUUUCUAGGAGCCGGGGGCAGGGUGUUUAAUUUAAAUUCUUUUUAUCCAGCAGUUUAUUAAUUUAUUACUCAUGUAUAAGCAGGCACCAGGGGUCCGACCGAACCGCAGGAGGGACCUUCGAAGGGUCUAGCUAGCUCGAACCAGCAGUGAGUGGACUUUUCUUUCUUAAAAGAUUUUAUAAUUAU